ensembl:snoRNA
GCUUCCCCUGGAGGCAGUGCAGGUGUGGCUGCUGUGUCAAACAUGCACCAGUAGGUGGCAGAGAGGAACGAGGCUGUGUCCACACUCCGUGUCCUGACCUGUAACAUCUGAAUGAUUAGCAGCUGAACAUU